rnacentral:rRNA from 1 species
UAUUGGACAAUGGGCGAAAGCCUGAUCCAGCAAUGCCGCGUGAGUGAUGAAGGCCUUAGGGUUGUAAAGCUCUUUUACCCGGGAUGAUAAUGACAGUACCGGGAGAAUAAGCUCCGGCUAACUCCGUGCCAGCAGCCGCGGUAAUACGGAGGGAGCUAGCGUUGUUCGGAAUUACUGGGCGUAAAGCGCACGUAGGCGGCUUUGUAAGUUAGAGGUGAAAGCCUGGAGCUCAACUCCAGAAUUGCCUUUGAUACUGCAUCGCUUGAAUCCAGGAGAGGUGAGUGGAAUUCCGAGUGUAGAGGUGAAAUUCGUAGAUAUUCGGAAGAACACCAGUGGCGAAGGCGGCUCACUGGACUGGUAUUGACGCUGAGGUGCGGAA